rnacentral:rRNA from 1 species
GACGAACCGUACGAACGUUAUUCGGAAUUACUGGGCUUAAAGCGUGCGCAGGCGGCGCGGUAAGUUGGAUGUGAAAUCCCUCGGCUCAACCGAGGAACUGCGUCCAAAACUGCCGUGCUCGAGGAAGAUAGAGGUGAGCGGAACUCACGGUGGAGCGGUGAAAUGCGUUGAUAUCGUGAGGAACACCCGUGGCGAAAGCGGCUCACUGGGUCUUUUCUGACGCUGAGGCACGAAAGCUAGGGGAGCAAACGGG